AGCGGUCUCAUGAGGGGGCGUGCCGGGCUGGCCGCCGGGGGGUAACGGUCACUUAGCCUGCCCGGUCCCGUGCAGUCCGCUGGCGGCCACCGCUGCCUCCCUCGUGCUUGGAGCCGCCAUGGCGGGGGGUCUGGAUUCGCUGGAGAAAUGCCUGGAGCGGCACCUCCCCCACGAGGAGCUCGGCGAAGUGAAGCGGAUCCUCUACGGGAGCCUGAGCAGAAAACUCGCCUUGCCGCCGGCGGCUCUGUCGGCCGCGAGCCAGAGGGCGUUGGAGCUGCAGGGCUGUGGAUUCGGAGCGGCGCCCGAGCAGCUGAGGCAGCCCCGCGUUGUCCGAGUGGGGCUGGUUCAGAAUAAAAUCCCCCUGCCCACGGAUACACCCGUGGCGGAACAGGUGGCUGCACUGCACAGGCGAAUAGAGGAGAUCGUGGAGGUGGCUGCAAUGUGUGGGGUCAAUGUGAUCUGCUUUCAAGAGGCUUGGACUAUGCCCUUUGCAUUCUGUACAAGAGAGAAACUUCCAUGGACUGAAUUUGCUGAGUCAGCAGAAGAUGGUCUGACAACAAGGUUCUGCCAAAAGUUGGCAAAGAAACACAAUAUGGUUGUGGUGUCUCCAAUUCUGGAGAGAGAUGAUGUACAUGGAGGAACUUUGUGGAACACUGCAGUGGUGAUUUCAAACUCUGGAUCUGUCCUUGGGAAGAGCAGGAAAAAUCACAUUCCAAGGAUUGGAGAUUUUAAUGAGUCUACUUACUAUAUGGAGGGCAACACAGGGCACCCUGUGUUCCAGACUCAAUUUGGAAGGAUUGCUGUGAAUAUCUGUUUUGGGCGCCAUCACCCCCUGAACUGGCUCAUGUAUAGUCUAAAUGGAGCAGAGAUUAUCUUUAACCCUUCAGCUACUACUGGAGAGCUCAGCGAGUCACUGUGGCCAAUUGAAGCAAGAAAUGCAGCUAUUGCUAACCACUGCUUUACAUGUGCCAUAAACCGAGUUGGAACGGAAUACUACAUGAAUGCAUUUACAUCUGGAGAUGGUGGAAAAGCCCACCAUGACUUGGGAUAUUUUUAUGGCUCAAGUUAUGUGGCUGCACCAGAUGGCAGUCGGACACCUGGACUGUCUCGCACACAGGAUGGGCUUUUGGUGGCUGAGGUGGAUCUAAACCUUUGCAGGCAAGUUGGUGACAAAUGGAGUUUUAAGUGUGCUGCAGUUUUGUAUUGAUAGUGCAAACCAGCAUUGCUGGAAGUUUUGGAAACUGAGUAGAGGACAACUGGGACUUUUGCCAACCAGAAAGGAGUAGGAAGCAGUUUAAAUUUUUAUCAUUUGAUGGAGAUGCAUAUCCCCUUUCUACUUGUGAGCAGCCAGAGGAGGCUUGACAUUUGGGGGUGAUGGGCAUGACCUUCUUGUUCCCCACCAAGACAACCCUUGACAGCAACCACAUAUCCCCAUAACCUGCUCCAGGAUCUGCCACUGCAUCCAGCAGCAAUGGAUAAGGACAUUAACUAUGACUGGUAGAUACGAGAUGUAUGCAGAGGAACUCAUGAAGGCUGUCCAGCUUAACUUUGCACCCAAUAUUAUUAAAGAGUAACUGUGGCAGUGUCCUUUGGUAGGAGAGCUCUCACACCAAGAUGAUAGCACCUCCUUUAUAAAACAAAAGUGAUCUAUGUAUGUUAGUCUGCAAAACUCUCCACCUUCUAUUAUCUUAUAGUUGGUAUUGCAACUGAAACUUGGCUGCUAGUCAAAGUGAAAAGUGACUGCUAGUCAAAAGUUACUAUACAUUUUUAUAAAGCACUUACUGCAAAGUGAUGAAUAAAUGAUAGAGGGCAGGGUGAGGAAUUCACCUGGUCAGAUUUAGCUUAAAUUCUGAAAUGUGCAUUAUACUGUAUGAGUGUUGGUGAAAAGGUGAUAUAUAUAUACAAAAUCAGUCUGGCCCUGAGGAAAUGCUAGUGCGCUUUUCCUACAUGCUUUGUUGCAGUGAGAUAAAAAUGUCAGCGCUUAAAGGCUUUGUCUGAGACCUUCUGACACAUGUAGUCUCCUUUUCUUUGGACGCUGAAUCAGUCAGUCAUAUGGUUCAGAAGAGUAUCAGGAAUACAAGCAUUGGCUCUUGGUACUUCCCAAAAGGAAGCACUAGAUAAGGAACUGACUAUAUUUCCCCUCACUUCACAUGAUAACUUUACAUUAUCACAAGUAGCUGAACGCUCGUGCUGUCACACAGGUGUAAUUUGUUAAGUCAUGUUUAUGAAAAAGCCAAAAAUGGCUCUAAACAAAAACUGCCAUCAGCUAUUGAAGCUCUUUCUAUUGCUUCACAUUGACGUAGACAUUGUAAGCUUCAGAGUGAUGUUUGGGGUUAGUGUGCCUGCUGGUUGUGUCUAUUUGUGUGUGGGUUGUGUCGUGCUGGGAGAGUUGUGUAGAUUUCUCCAGGCUGGGAAUGAGGAGGGUGGCUGCAGCGAGAGGCUAUGUGUGUUUGGGAUUCUUGUGUGUGGGUUACGUUGUGUUGGGAGAUUUUUGUUGAUUUUUGUGUCUGUGGCAGUUGGGCCAGGUAAUCCCGCAUCUGUGCAGUUUCUUUAGUACAGCCAAAGAAAUUAUUGCAUUCAAAUUAGCUGUAGAAUAAGGUUGGUUGGUUGCGUUACCUCCAAUAUCACAAUGGUCUAGAACUCUUGGCAUAGAGAUGCAUGCCUUACUAUAGCUGUGCACCACACAGGUGUAAUACGUAAGGUCAAAAUGCUGAGAACUUAAAAAUUGGAUGGUAGUAGGCCAUGAAACGCAGUGAUGAUGGAACCUGGUGAUAUUCUAAACAAACAGCUUUCAAGCCAUGCUUAGACCUGCUGCCAUUGCUUCACACUGACACAACAGACAUUUUAGGCUUCAGAGUGCCAUUCCUAGAAUCUUCUUAGAUGGAUGCUGCCACACUACAUAUUUCAGCUUGGGGACAUUGUACCUCUUAGGUUAUUUAUCUUGCCGGGGAGGUAAUGCGCUUAGCAUUGCUGUUCCACCACCUGUCUUCUUAGAGCCGGGGUGCCAAACAUAUGGCCCAUAAUCCUACACAGCCCACCAGAGCAUUUAUAAGGCCUGCAGCGGGACUCGGGCUGUCAGCCCUGGGUGGCAGGACUCCCGCUGUUAGCGGAAAUCUUAUUAAAAUAUGUAGAAUCUGUUUGGCCCACACAAGGUUGUCUUAGAUUUCUGUGGCCUUCUAGUAUAAUAAGGUUGGGCAUCACUGCCUUAGAGAAUUGGUGUAUCUAAAUUGGUGGUUUAAAAAAAUGAACUGCAUGUCCCAUGUACUAGUUUUACAGGGGAAACUACAGAAGGAAAAUGUCUGGCCAAAAACAGAGUGGCUGAAGUUAAGUUCUUAUGUCGGUGCUCAAAUAAGGAUUUAGGAGCCUAAUUUUUGGCAACCAUUUUUAACUCUCUCUGGUGAAGAAAGAUUUAAAAUGAAAUGUGUAUGGUUUGCUUGGCUUAGUGAAGAUGAAAGGGACCUGGGGGCUAUAGAAAAACCUUUGAGUGAGCCAAGGGUCUAAAAGUAUAUAGGGCCUGUUCUACAGUACACGGUUAUUUUGGAAUUAGCCGAGUUACCUCGAAAUAAAUUCUGAUUCUGUCUACACGACCAAACCAGUUUUUUCGAUUUAAAGGGCUCUUUACUCCGAUUUCUGUACUCUACUUCGGCAAGUGGAGUAGCGCUAAGAUGGAAUAAAAAUGAGAAAAAGAUUUGUUUGUCGAACUCCCAAUAAAAAAAUGUAAGGGUAUAAUUUUCUUAAGAAAAUUGGUGGAAGUUCCCUUGUUUGGGACACUUAUGAUAAGUGAUCAGUAAACAGUGUGAGAAAGUAAUCCUACAACGGCAGGGGGUAGCACUGGGUACUUUGUAGACCUUUUCCAAUGCUAAAACCAAAUUGGUCUGUAACACCAGAGUAACUCCCAUUGAAAUCAAAGGCAUUAUUCUGUUUUAUACUGAUAAAUUUUACUUCAGAAUCUAGCCUCUAAUAACCAAUUUGUAUCUUAACCAUCUUAAUGCUCUGCAAUUUAAAAAAUCUGAGUCAAGCAGGAUUAAAUGCUACACAUUCUAUUAGGGCUUUACUGUAAACUCCAUGAAGUUAUUAUGAAUGUUGCUUUCUAGAGAAUUGAUUAGUUUGGCCGUGAAGGACAGAGACAGCUUUGUAGCGAGACACCUUUUUAUAUUACAGCCAAGCCAAAAAGAAUUCUAACAGUGUUCAGUACUUUGUAAUGGAAUGUAUUACUAUUGCAGACUUUCAUAGCACUUCAGGAUUUUGUUGUCUUAUUUUCCUGUAGCCAGUUUUUAAAUACAGGCAACUAAAGCUUCUAAGCAGGGCCCCAAAUAACAUUAAGGAAAAAAAAAAUGAAGGCGGCUGCCUAGGAAGUUUUUUCUGUAGUAUAGGCAAGUAGCUUCCAACCUUCAGUCCGGUGACUGUCCCACCAGAAAUACAGCCAUUGCAUGAUCCACGGGUAUAACAAAUGCUAGUGGAAUUCAUUCAGUAUCACAUGCAGGAACAGACCAUGUGAUGUGAGAGGGGAAAAGGGGGUGGGGGAUCAGUAGAGACAAAGAAAUGUAAUAUUUUUAAGCUUUGUUCGUAACAUGCAUUGAAUCUGUCUGCUCACUUUUAAUUUCCUGUCUCUCCCCGUGUCACCCCCACAUUAAACACUUAAUCCAAGCAGCACAAGAAAGCAGGGAACCCCAGCUCUGUGGCAAAACUAACUGCCUGAAAUGCUUGUAAGCAGCAGGACUGGUUCUCUCUCUCUCCAGGAGGGUAUUUUUGCCUAUCUUCUGUUAUCUCUCUGUAUAGCACCACUGCCAGGUUGAGAUUUGGCCAUAUUUAUUUUUUAUACAAUUUAACUGUAGAGUCUGGGAUUUAAUUGCUUUCCUUCUAUUGUUUUGUAUUAUAAAGCAUUUAAUACAGCCCACCUAGAACCAGAUAGUGGCUCCAAACAGGACGUGACCUACUAGUUGGGAAUCAUUGGUGCAGAUAAGGCUUCUGUGUAUUGAUCCCAUUAAAAGUAUGUAAACACUAGCAAAUGAAACUAUUGCAAGGAUGAUGACAGAAUGUCACGGUUUAUCACCUAGUUUGACCUUGCAGCAAUUUAGCACAUAUACCCACCCCAUACCAUACCACCAUAGUUGAAUCAAUGCUUUUGGGUACUCCUGUAGUACCCAGUAAUGGUGCUAGAGGCUAUUAAGGAACCUCCAAAAGCCCAGCAUUCCAUUGUGAGAUGGAAUUAGAAGGAGCAGCUGAAUUGGUGCAGCAGUUGCAAUUCUUGUGGCUUCUUUCAAACAAUGCAGAGAAAUUGGUGUAGACUGCACCAGUGCAGAGCUGAAGACUUCAACCAAAGAGUUGCACUCAACUAGGAUACCCACUGGUUGUGGGAUGCCUGAGACAAAUGUGUGUGGAUAGCAACGGUUCAUGGAAUGCUUUGAGCUGGGAACGUAGCCAAUUUUGCUUACCUUUUUGUUUGCCCGGUAUAGUCUGAUGUAGUGAUGUGUCUGGGAAAAGUGAAAGAAAUACGACCCUAAAUUGUAACGACAGCGUACCCACAGCUGAAGUAAAUAUUUGUCUCUUAAGAGUUUCAAAAUGGCAGUUUCAGCUAAUUGUAUCAUUUUUAGUUUAAUACGUAUUUCUUUUAAAGAUCUUCACACAUUUUUGCAUAAUACGCUGGUUGACAAAUACAGCUGCUACUGCUACACUAUGCUAUAGGAUUCACUUAAAAACUUUAUUGAGAAUGGCUCAAUUACAGACAAAAUAUAUUUAUGUAUAAAAUUUCUCUGCAUGUAAAAUAUCCCUUUCUUUGCUGUGGAUAAUAUGAAUAAAACAAGGUAUUACAAAGAAA